UACGGAGGGUGCAAGCGUUAAUCGGAAUUACUGGGCGUAAAGCGCGCGUAGGCGGUUCAACAAGUCCGUCGUGAAAGCCCCGGGCUUAACCUGGGAAUGGCGGUGGAUACUGUUGGGCUAGAGUGUGGUAGAGGGGAGUGGAAUUUCCGGUGUAGCAGUGAAAUGCGUAGAGAUCGGAAGGAACACCAGUGGCGAAGGCGGCUCCCUGGACCAACACUGACGCUGAGGUGCGAAAGCGUGGGGAGCAAAC
rnacentral:rRNA from 1 species